CCAAGAGGAAGGUCAGCUCCACCGAAGGGACAGCGAAGGAGUAGCUCAUGAGAGGAGAUCUGCACACUUGUCAGCUAAACCUGCCCCUGCGAAAGUGGAAACUAAGCCAGAAAAGGCAGCAGAAAAGGGUAAAUCUCCAGACAGAACGUGCAAACAAAAGGGAAAGGAGGAGCAAAGGGAAAAUGGGCUGAAGUGGCUAAUCAAGAAAGUAAAGAAGAUUUGCCUGCAGAAAAUGGAGAAACAAAAACCGUGGAGAGUUCAGCCUCCAAUGAAGCUAGAGAGAAAGAAGCCAAGUCUG
rnacentral:lncRNA from 1 species